rnacentral:rRNA from 1 species
CCUACGGGAGGCAGCAGUGAGGAAUCUUCCACAAUGGGCGAAAGCCUGAUGGAGCAACGCCGCGUGGGUGAAGAAGGUCUUCGGAUCGUAAACCCCUGUUGUUAGAGAAGAAAGUGCGUGAGAGUAACUGUUCACGUUUCGACGGUAUCUAACCAGAAAGCCACGGCUAACUACGUGCCAGUAGCCGCGGUAAUACGUAGGUGGCAAGCGUUAUCCGGAUUUAUUGGGCGGAAAGGGAACGCAGGCGGGCUUUUAAGUCUGAUGUGAAAGCCUUCGGCUUAACCGGAGUAGUGCAUUGGAAACUGGGGGACUUGAGUGCAGAAGAGGAGAGUGGAACUCCAUGUGUAGCGGUGAAAUGCGUAGAUAUAUGGAAGAACACCAGUGGCGAAGGCGGCUCUCUGGUCUGUAACUGACGCUGAGAUUCGAAAGCGUGGGUAGCAAACAGGAUUAGAUACCCUAGUAGUC